AACGCACCUUGCACUUGCAGAGUCUAUCUGCAAGUAUACCUGUUUGAGUAUCAUACACAUUUAUCCAGCCAGCCUCGGUUGAUUGGGAGGUGAGCGUCAGCGCCGCGCGGUGCUGUUGCUUGAAAUGCAGCGAGAAGCGAGGCCGCAGCAGUCGUGCCCGACGUGAGGAUAUUUGCAGCGCCGCCAGCCGGAGCAGCAAAGCAAUCACAACGGAGCGAUGCGCCGCGACCAGCAAGCUUCUUUUGUGGUGAUGGUGGUAGUAAUGGAAACAUUUGCCUGCCACACACACACACUGUAGCACCAAAUGUGAUCUCAAAUCAGGCAAGAAGACCCGCCGAACUUAA
rnacentral:misc_RNA from 1 species